UCCCUGGUGGCUUAACAGUUAAAGAUCUGGCAUUGUCACUGCUGUGGCUUGGGUUCGAUCCCUGGCCUGGGAA
rnacentral:tRNA from 1 species